CCUACCUAGGCAAUCGAAUAUGAUAAUUUCAUUGAGUGCUGCCUAACUGUUAAGGGGCUGACAGAGAAGUUCAAGGAAAGGGACACGGCGUACUCAGGCUCAGCAACGUUCAAUUAUGAAGCUUUCAUGUUGACCGUUUUGCCCUUCCUCAUUGCUUAGAAAUCUCUCCCCCUUUUUCCUUGCUUCGUUGUAUGAAGUUAGAUGUGGUUUCCGUGUGCUUUGGAUUUGUUAUAGUGGAACUAGAGACCCUACGUGUUUCUCACCACUUUUUAUUUUUUUGUUACUAAUCUAAAACGCGUACUUGUAAUAUUAGGGUGUGUUUGGACGUGCCUUGAAUUGCAAUACAAAUAAUGCAAUCUAGUCAAAUAUCAUUCCCCUUCA